GUCCAGGCCGCUUAGCACGGUCGCGUUUUUAUCCCUUGUCACCAUGCCUGUCACGUUCUAACAAGUAUGUAAGUGCGAAAGGGACGCGCAUAGUGAUAGUCGAUAAAAAUGGAACCGUGCUGAGCCUGCAGGUCUUGUAUAAAUUAAAAACAUUUACAAAUAAUUAACUUUAGAGGUGUAGGUGGGCUACUAUUCUAUAAAAUGGCGUAGAAUACAUACAAUUCAAUAGUGCUGGGGGCCGAUUUUUGAAUUUUGACCGCUCGAGUUCGUGUUAUUCGUUCAAUAAUAUCUCCACUACUAGGCAUUCAAAUUCUACUAAUAGAAUUGAAAACGAGUGGUCAAUACCAUUAGAUUCCCAGUUUCUAUCGCUCGUAUUUCAAAAAUCAGCAUUUCGCCGUUUUACACCGAUUUUCGAGUGAUGAAAUCGAGCGGUAGAAAUUCAAAAAUCGCCCCCCUGCUCGAAUUGUAGCAUUUUACUAGUGAAAUUGCACCUAUGUGUGGACCUUUUUAAAUGCUUUAUAAUGCGGUGUCUGUGUAGUUUGUAGUCUGUGUACUAAUCCUAUUGUUUUAGGAGUUGAAAAUCUAUUUUUUGUGAAAGAUUUGAUGUUUUUUGAAAAUAAAUAAUGAUUUUUAGCAAUUUACGAAA